rnacentral:misc_RNA from 1 species
GGGAGUUGGAGCCAAUCGCCGCCCAGCUUGUACCUGGACAUAAUUGCGUUCGCAUAUGUUGUUAAUAUGCACAGAGAUUGACGCAUCUGUUCCAAUACCAUGUUUCUCCAUCAAAGAGAUCAGCUCACUUUCGCUGAGAUAACCCGGAGGCGAAGUGUCCCCCUCAUCUAGUUCAACUUUAGAAACCUCGAUUUUCUCUCCUACAGCAAACUCAGGAAGAUUCUUCUCACUAAUAGCCAGCCAUGGCAUAAUAGAGGUGAAUCCUUUGACUGUGGCAAGCUGCCCAACGCACUGAAAUUGCU